GACGAACGCUGGCGGCGUGCUUAACACAUGCAAGUCGAACGAUGAAGCUAGAGCUUGCUCUGGUGAAUUAGUGGCGAACGGGUGAGUAACACGUGAGUAACCUGCCCCGAACUCUGGGAUAACUGCUGGAAACGGUAGCUAAUACUGGAUACGACCUACGAAGGCAUCUUCUGUAGGUGGAAAGAAUUUCGGUUCGGGAUGGACUCGCGGCCUAUAAGCUUGUUGGUGAGGUAAUGGCUCACCAAGGCGACGACGGGUAGCCGGCCUGAGAGGGUGACCGGCCACACGGGGACUGGGACACGGCCCAGACUCCUACGGGAGGCAGCAGUGGAGAAUAUUGCACAAUGGGCGCAAGCCUGAUGCAGCAACGCCGCGUGAGUGAUGACGGCCUUCGGGUUGUAAACCUCUUUUAGUAGGGAAGAAGCGAAAGUGACGGUACCUGCAGAAAAAGCACCGGCUAACUACGUGCCAGCCGCCGCAGUAA
rnacentral:rRNA from 1 species